rnacentral:sRNA from 1 species
GUCAACUACCUCGGCCUGAAGGCCGAGGCUUGAAAAAGCCUCUGGUUGACUAGCCUCAGUCUGCCUUUGGGCAGGCUACGUUGGUUGGGAAUGUAUAGGCACCGCGGAAUGUCGAUCCUAGUU